rnacentral:rRNA from 1 species
UACGGAGGAUGCAAGCGUUAUCCGGAUUUAUUGGGUUUAAAGGGUGCGCAGGUUGUUUGAUAAGUCAGUGGUGGAAGUCUGUCGCUUAACGGUAGGAUUGCCAUUGAUACUGUUGGACUUGAAUAUGGAUGAGGUAGGCGGAAUGUGUAGUGUAGCGGUGAAAUGCAUAGAUAUUACACAGAACACCGAUUGCGAAGGCAGCUUACUAAUCCAUCGUUGACGCUGAGGCACGAAAGCGUGGGGAUCAAACAGGA